rnacentral:rRNA from 1 species
UACGAAGGGGGCUAGCGUUGCUCGGAAUCACUGGGCGUAAAGGGUGCGUAGGCGGGUCUUUUAAGUCAGGGGUGAAAUCCUGGAGCUCAACUCCAGAACUGCCUUUGAUACUGAAGAUCUUGAGUUCGGGAGAGGUGAGUGGAACUGCGAGUGUAGAGGUGAAAUUCGUAGAUAUUCGCAAGAACACCAGUGGCGAAGGCGGCUCACUGGCCCGAUACUGACGCUGAGGUGCGAAAGCGUGGGGAG